UUCCGGUUGAUCCUGCCGGAGGUCACUGCUAUUGGGGUCCGACUAAGCCAUGCGAGUCAAUAGUUCUUCGUGAACUAGGCGGACGGCUCAGUAACACGUGGGUAAUCUACCCUCAGGACAGGGAUAACCCCGGGAAACUGGGGAUAAUACCUGAUAGGUGGAGAGGUCUGGAAUGAUCCUCCGCCCAAAGCUCCGGCGCCUGAGGAUGAGCCUGCGGCCGAUUAGGUUGUUGGCGGUGUAACGGACCACCAAGCCUGAGAUCGGUACGGGCACUAAGAGGUGGAGCCCGGAGAUGGGGGCUGAGAAGCGGCCCCAGGCCCUACGGGGCGCAGCAGGCGCGAAAACUCCGCAAUACGCGAAAGCGUGACGGGGGGACCCCAAGUGUCAUGCCUUCGGGUAUGACUUUUGCGGAGUGUAAACAGCUCUGGGAAUAAGAGCUGGGUAAGACCGGUGCCAGCCGCCGCGGUAACACCGGUAGCUCGAGUGGUGGCCACUAUUAUUGGGCCUAAAGCGACCGUAGCCGGCUCGGUAANUCCUUGGGAAAAUCCGCUCGUUCCACGAACGGGACCCUGAGGAUACUGCCGAACUUGGGAACGAGAGAAGUCGGAAGUACUCCUGGGGUAGCGGUGAAA
rnacentral:rRNA from 1 species